GUGCUUUUGGAGCGGCGAUGCCUGAUUGGCUAGUUGGUGAGGUAAAGGCUCACCAAGGCGUCGAUCAGUAGCUGGUCUGAGAGGACGACCAGCCACACUGGGACUGAGACACGGCCCAGACUCCUACGGGAGGCAGCAGUGGGGAAUUUUGGACAAUGGGGGAAACCCUGAUCCAGCCAUGCCGCGUGAGUGAAGAAGGCCUUCGGGUUGUAAAGCUCUUUCAGCCGGAACGAAACGGUCACGGCCAAUACCCGUGACUACUGACGGUACCGGAAGAAGAAGCACCGGCUAACUACGUGCCAGCAGCCGCGGUAAUACGUAGGGUGCAAGCGUUAAUCGGAAUUACUGGGCGUAAAGCGUGCGCAGGUGGUUUAUGUAAGUCAGAUGUGAAAUCC
rnacentral:rRNA from 1 species